AGUGAACGCUGGCGGUAUGCCUAACACAUGCAAGUCGAACGGCAGCACAGUAAGAGCUUGCUCUUACGGGUGGCGAGUGGCGGACGGGUGAGGAAUACAUCGGAAUCUACUUUUUCUUGGGGGAUAACGUAGGGAAACUUACGCUAAUACCGCAUACGACCUACGGGUGAAAGCAGGGGAUCUUCGCACCUUGCGCGAUUGAAUGAGCCGAUGUCGGAUUAGCUAGUUGGCGGGGUAAAGGCCCACCAAGGCGACGAUCCGUAGCUGGUCUGAGAGGAUGAUCAGCCACACUGGAACUGAGACACGGUCCAGACUCCUACGGGAGGCAGCAGUGGGGAAUAUUGGACAAUGGGCGAAAGCCUGAUCCAGCCAUACCGCGUGGGUGAAGAAGGCCUUCGGGUUGUAAAGCCCUUUUGUUGGGAAAGAAAAGCAGCAGGUUAAUACCCCGCUGUUCUGACGGUACCAAAAGAAUAAGCACCGGCUAACUUCGUG
rnacentral:rRNA from 1 species